GUCCGGCUGCUCAGACCUGACCGGCUACCAAUUACGAGGGGCAGAUCAAGGAUGACUUUCUUGGAGCCGGGGACGCUGACAUAGAUCUAGAAAGGAAAAGGACACGUCUUGAACUCCAGUCAUCC